rnacentral:rRNA from 1 species
CAGCCGCCGCGGGAAUACGAAGGGUGCAAGCGUUACUCGAAAUUACUGGGCGUAAAGCGUGCGUAGGUGGUGGUUUAAGUCCGUUGUGAAAGCCCUGGGCUCAACCUGGGAAUUGCAGUGGAUACUGGGUCACUAGAGUGUGGUAGAGGAUAGUGGAAUUUCCGGUGUAGCAGUGAAAUGCGUAGAGAUCGGAAGGAACAUCUGUGGCGAAGGCGACUAUCUGGGCCGACACCGACACUGAGGCACGAAAGCGUGGGGAGCAAACAGGAUUAGAGACCCCCGUAGUCCCUGUCUCUUAUAC